CCUACGGGUGGCUGCAGUGAGGAAUAUUGGUCAAUGGGCGGAAGCCUGAACCAGCAAAGUAGCGUGCAGGAUGAAGGCCCUACGGGUUGUAAACUGCUUUUAUACGGGAAUAACGCGCCUUACGUGUAGGGCUUUGCAUGUACCGUAUGAAUAAGGACCGGCUAAUUCCGUGCCAGCAGCCGCGGUAAUACGGCGGGUGCGGGCGUUAUCCGGAUUUAUUGGGUUUAAAGGGAGCGUAGGCCGCAUGUCAAGCGUGCUGUGAAAUGGCCUGGCUCAACCCGGGCCUUGCAGCGGAAACUGGCGGGCUUGAGUCCGCGGAAAGCAGGCGGAAUUCGUAGUGUAGCGGUGAAAUGCUGAGAUAUGACGAAGAACCCC
rnacentral:rRNA from 1 species